GACCCUAUAGAGUUUAAUAUUUAAUUAAUAAAUUAUUUUUUAGAAUUUAAUAUUAAUUUAUUAAUUAAUUAUUUGAUUGGGGUGAUUGAAAAAUUUAAGUAACUUUUUUUAUAUUAAAACAUUAAUUUAUGAUUGUUUGAUCCAUUAUUUAUGAUUAUAAGAUUAAAUUACCUUAGGGAUAACAGCGUAAUUUUUUUUAAGAGUUCAAAUCGAAAAAAAAGAUUGCGACCUCGAUGUUGGAUUAAAAUUUAUUUUUGGUGUAGAAGCUAAAUUUAUUGGGUCUGUUCGACCUUUAAAAUUUUACAUGAUCUGA
rnacentral:rRNA from 4 species